CCUCUGUGCCAUUAUUCCCUUCACGGGCUGAUCUGUGGCCAAGCGAAAGAAGUCUCCAAUCUAGCUUCAAGACCAGCGCUGGAUCUCAGUCUCGGUCUGGUGUGAAGUUGCCGGCAGUUAGUAUGGUGAUCAGACAACAAGGUGCUGAUGUGGAAGGGUUGACCUGUUAGGCAACGACUCCACUGUGGAUCCAAGCAUCACUGGUUGAGGACGAUCCACAGAUUUGAGCAACCUAUUUCUGGUCAUGGAUUCCUUUAAUUGUGAGUUACCAGCCACCUACUUGAGUUUGGGACUUUGACACGAGACGAGCAUCUUGACAUCAGAUUGGACCGGAUACGAUCCUCUUAUCGG